CCUACGGGGGGCAGCAGUGGGGAAUAUUGGACAAUGGGGGGAACCCUGAUCCAGCCAUGCCGCGUGUGUGAAGAAGGCCCUCGGGUUGUAAAGCACUUUCAGUGAGGAAGAACGCCUGGUGGUUAAUACCCAUCAGGAAAGACAUCACUCACAGAAGAAGCACCGGCUAACUCCGUGCCAGCAGCCGCGGUAAUACGGAGGGUGCGAGCGUUAAUCGGAAUUACUGGGCGUAAAGCGCGCGUAGGUGGCUUGAUAAGCCGGUUGUGAAAGCCCCGGGCUCAACCUGGGAACGGCAUCCGGAACUGUCAAGCUAGAGUGCAGGAGAGGAAGGUAGAAUUCCCGGUGUAGCGGUGAAACGCGUAGAGAUCGGGAGGAAUACCAGUGGCGAAGGCGGCCUUCUGGACUGACACUGACACUGAGGUGCGAAAGCGUGGGUAGCAAACAGGAUUAGAUACCCUUGUAGUC
rnacentral:rRNA from 1 species